CCUUGGUGCUGGGGUCUCGUCUCUUUAUUCCAAACACUUUCUCUUUUUCUUCGUAUGAUUGUACGAAAUCUUUUUCAAGGAAACCAUUCUCAUAUUUCAUUGGAGCUCUGCUACGUAAAGUUUUCUGUCAUUUUCCUUAUUCUGCUUUCAUCAUUUUGGUGCAGAAAUGCAGCAGUAGUAUUAACUUAGUUGCAUAUAAAAUCACAGACCUGGAAAAUUUUCUUAGCUAAUAAACCCCAGAAGAAAGAAGAAAGACAAGGGAAUUAAAAUGGCAACUACUACUACUACAAAGAAGAAAACAGAGAAAACAGUUCCGGGAUUGGUAGAUUUGGUGUUUUCUUGGUCUCUAGGGGACGUGCUGAACAGAGAUCUUUACAAAAACAAGGUU